rnacentral:lncRNA from 1 species
AUGUGUCAAGAAAAAUUGGUACAAGAAGCCGUGGAUACACUUCUUGAUAAUGGAAUCCGCGGACAACCAAUGAGGGACGACUUUGAUGGGGAUCAAAUGGCUGUUCAUGUGCCUUUAUCUUUGGAGGCUCAAGCAGAAGCUCGUUUACUUAUGUUUUCUCAUACGAAUCUCUUGUCUCCGGCUAUUGGGGAUCCCAUUUGUGUACCAACUCAAGAUAUGCUUAUUGGACUUUACGUAUUAA